GUGGAUCUUAUGAGGUACAUUGGAGAUGUAAUCAAACCUGGAAAAGCCAAAGUGGAUAGGAAGGUAUCCAUGAAAUCUCCAGAGAGAGGAACAGAGUGCCAAGCUGUAGGCAGAACCUCGGGUGGGUCAGGAAGGGCUUUGGGGAUCUUUCCAACCUCCUGACAUAGUUGUCACUCACUCCCACAUCCACCAGUUCUGUAACUGUGCUCUGGCUUAGUCUUCAGCUUGUCUCUCCUUUCUCUGACUCUGUCCAUGGACAUAGCUUUGCUCUGGCUUUCAGUCUCUUUUUUUCUGCUUUCUUGCUGAAUAUCUUUCUUGCUCCCUGGGUUGCUUGAUCUUGGGCUUGGUUGAGACAGAAGGUAUAAAUAAUACAAAGUGAUGGUAACUAUAAGAGGACAAAGUAAAAAGGCAUUUGUGGAAAAUGAAAAUUUUCCUAAUUAUGCCUACAGAGUCAGAUGGUAAGAGAUGGAGUGGGGUGAUGAGUGUGUUGGCCCUUGGAGGAUGAGCAGCAAAGCUGGGAGAUGUCCAGAAAUGUCAAACUAUGUGGGAGUCAUCAUUUGGGUAGCUUGCAAAUGGGGCUCGUAAGGUAGGUUGGAACAGAAAGCCGUUGGUCCUGUCAUUGUAGAAGACCUAAUCAUUCUUUCUCUGCAGGUGGAUUUUUAAGCAAAGACCUCACUACUCCAAGUGUGCUUUGCAAGCUGGCAAAAUCUGCAGUAUCCAGAAGCCUGGUGAAAUGCAGAGUCUCAGGUGCCUGUGAAAUGGCAUUUAUUCUUCCUGAGAAGACCUAUGGUUUCAACCAAGUCUCUGAACUUUUGUAAAUGAUGAGAGAGGUAACAGAACAAACUGGAGUCUCCUGUCCAGCAGGUGCAGCUGCUGGAUUCCCGGACACCAAAGGAGCUGGAGAUGGCCAUCUGUGGACUUCAGAGCAGCAGCAUCUGCAAGGCAAGGCCUCCGAGCCCAUUUAACAAACAUCAGGUAGCCCAAAGACAUGAAGAAGAAAAUGCUUUCACAUCUUCACAUCUGGGAGCGUUUAGAAAUUCUGAAUAGAUGGCUUAUAAGAGGACAGAAAGAAAUUCCUUUUAUUGCUCAGCCCAUAAAUCAUAGCCACUUAGAGUUAUACCUUCCUAGCCAUUGAUCAUUUCUGUCCUCCUCACCUUCCCCACCUCUUGAAUAUACGCUUACACACUCUGAUUAAACAAAGAUCUAUCUCAA